AUGCAAGACUACUUCGCGGACAAUCCAACCUAUCCACCGCACCUCUUCCGGAGAACGUAUUGAAUGCGCCGAUCACUCUUCAUAAAAAUUGUGCAAGCUUGCGAGGCUAAUUGCCGGUUUUUUACUCAAAGGAGAAACGUCGCGGUCUUGUUGGGUUUUAGAGCCUAUCAAAAAAAUCGUCGCGGCUAUGCGUGUGAUUGCAUAUGGUAUUCUGGCUGA
rnacentral:rRNA from 1 species